GUAUAAACAAAUUUAUACAGUGAAACUGCGAAUGGCUCAUUAAAUCAGUUAUAAUUUAUUUGAUAUUCACUUACUACUUGGAUAACCGUGGUAAUUCUAGAGCUAAUACAUGCGUACAUAACCUCGACUUCUGGAAGAGGUGCACUUAUUAGAUAAAAAGCCAACGCGGGCAACCGCUUGUAUGGUGAUUCAUAAUAAUUAAUCGAAUCGCAUGGCCUUGUGCCGGCGAUGAUGCAUUCAAAUUUCUGCCCUAUCAAGUUUCGAUGGUAGGUUAGUGGCCUACCAUGCUUUUAACGGGUAACGGGGAAUUAGGGUUCGAUUCCGGAGAGGGAGCCUGAGAAACGGCUACCACAUCCAAGGAAGGCAGCAGGCGCGCAAAUUACCCAAUCCCGACACGGGGAGGUAGUGACAAUAAAUAACAAUACAGGGCCUUUACGGGUCUUGUAAUUGGAAUGAGUACAAUUUAAAUCCCUUAACGAGGAACAAUUGGAGGGCAAGUCUGGUGCCAGCAGCCGCGGUAAUUCCAGCUCCAAUAGCGUAUAUUAAAGUUGUUGCAGUUAAAAAGCUCGUAGUUGAAUUUUGGCCUUCGCCUGUGGGGUUCGGUCUUCAUUGAUCGGUACCUCAACGGGCGGGGCUCCACCUUCUGGGUUAGCCAGUCGUCAUUUCGGUGGCGGCUGGUGAACCAGAACUUUUACUUUGAAAAAAUUGGAGUGUUUAAAGCAGGCUUUCAAGCUUGAACAUAUUAGCAUGGAAUAAUGAAAUAGGACUUUGGCCUUAUUUCGUUGGUUUCUAAAGCCAAAGUAAUGAUGAAUAGGGAUAGUUGGGGACAUUAGUAUUCAAUUGUCAGAGGUGAAAUUCUUGGAUUUAUUGAAGACUAACUUCUGCGAAAGCAUUUGUCAAGGAUGUUUUCAUUAAUCAAGAACGAAAGUUAGGGGAUCGAAGACGAUCAGAUACCGUCGUAGUCUUAACCAUAAACUAUGCCGACUAAGGAUCGGAUGGUGUUAUAUUUUAUAUUGACCCAUUCGGCAUUUCAGCGAAAGCCAAGUUUUUGGGUUCCGGGGGGAGUAUGGUCGCAAGGCUGAAACUUAAAGGAAUGACGGAAG
rnacentral:rRNA from 1 species